UUGCGCUCAUCAAAUGCUGUGUUUGACUAUCCAAAAUUUACAGGAAAGCAGUUAAUACAUUAUUUUCUUAGUUCCAAACACACGGUUUCUUACUUUCUUUCCUUCACCUACAUUUUCCCAGCCACCAGAUAAGCAAACUGGUAUGUAGAGACAAAUCAGAAGGAAGCCAUACACUAACCCGCCAUCAAGUCACAAUCUAAUUUAUAGUUCACUUUUCAGAUUCCACAAUCUGUGGUUUUCAAUAGAAACUUUCAUAGAAACGAGAAGGCAAAUCACUGAAUCAACUAAGCCUAACACUUGUCUACAGCUCGACCAAAGUAGACAUUCUCGAUUUAUAUCUCGGUUCCCCAAAUAAUGCACAGUUUAACAUUCACAAAAUUUCAAUUCAGCCUCUUGCAGCAGCCAAACAUAGCAUUAAAAAAAAAAAUUUAGCCCAACGAAUUCUAAUCAAUCAAUUGCUAGUAGAGGAGAGAGACAGAGAGAGAGAGAG
rnacentral:misc_RNA from 1 species